GGAGAGAUGUCCGAGCUGGUCUAAGGGGCACGACUGGAAAUCGUGUGGGGCAGAAAUGCUCCCCAGGGUUCGAAUCCCUGUCUCUCCG
rnacentral:tRNA from 1 species